CCCCCUAUGAAAAUGGCCAUUGCCUUUAUGUUUCCUUUAUGUUUCCUUCUUGUGUCCUAUGUGACCUUUAUGUUUCCUUGUCCUUUGUGUGACCUCCAGGAUGUGAACUUUGUGUGUACUACGUGUUUACUCAUCCUAACGUAUACCUCGAGGAAGUUACCUUUAUUAUGCCUCUAGGAUGUGUCCUUUAUGUUUACGGCAGGAUGUUAACUGGAUGUGCACUAUGUGUUACCUGAGUGUACACUUGAGUGCACAUGUAGGUAACAUAGAGUGCACAUAACAACUGUCUUUACAUAUAAUAUAGGCAGAUCUAUCUGUACUGUGUGACAGGCAUUGAUACACUCAGCAGAGUCAUUGUAAGUACUAAAUCUUGACUUAUGCUUUCAUUUGGUCCAAGAAAACAACCCUUAUUAUAAUUCUUGUAGGAUGUGUCCUUUGUGUUUACGGCAGGAUGUUACCUAGGUGUGCACUUCAGUACACACGUAGGUAACAUAGAGCAUAUAGUGGGCGAGUUGGUUACGAUUCAUCGUACCUUUAGCAACAGCGCAAAAGCAACGCGGAAACAAGGAACACUCCGAAGAAACAGCGCCGUCUUGUUGUGUUUCUUCCUUUUGUCCGUGUCGCUUUCGCGCUGACCACAAGUACGAGUAACUGCUGUGUCGAUAUUAGCACGCGUAGAAGCAGGGCAGCGCGGAUCCCGUAAGUGCUUGCUUGGGCGUACAACUGAACAAUUUAUAAUUGUGAGUUGGCUAAGUAUGAAAGUUGUGUGCGGAGUAUGGCCGUAUUUGAUUACGCGAGCAUGCAAGCAGUACGCCUGUUUCACUUUGGCCGAAGUUCCGCUGCCGCUGCAAGCCAGCUAUCGCCACAUUUUGUCGCCUUCAUUCCUUACGCUACGAGCAAAUAUGGUGCCACCUAUGCAAGAUAAAGCCUGACAUUCUCAAAAACACGCCACUGGGCACCAUAAGAAGCGUGUAUAUGUGUUGCAAUUCCGAAUUUCUGAUCGGUAGGCGUCACAGCUCUCGCGGCUGCCCGCACACCGUGCGCCAUCCCAAGCGACGGAACAGCACAUGAUGCGCGCUGAUUGGCUCGUGUCCGCCGACAAACCACAGGACAAGCGUUCGCGCAUAGUUCGUCUAAAAUCUCUGCAUAUACUUAAAAAAAACAAGGCAGCGCACCAAGACACUUUAAAAUCAAUAAUUUGUGUUUAAAUACCAGCCUUCCUUCCAGCAACGACGUUUUUAAAUCUCGAAGGCCGUGCUUUUCCAAAAUGCACGCCCUAAAGAAAAAUGUAGAUCUCGGAGGCUAAAUUCACGUUUUAACCGCAGUGCGGCGCUGCCGCAGUGUAACGGUUGACGGUGAGCUGGGCCACGUUGUUUUGCUGUGAGCGGUGAGAGUGUUCGUUACACAGUAAUUUAAUCAUAUUUUCGAAGUGCCUAAACAAACUGUGAUCCGUACCGUGUGCAUUAACCAUCAGGAAACCUCUGGACUCGUGUAACGCCAUUAGUUCGCCUUAUGUUUCGUGUGAUACGCCAGUGUCUUGUGUACUACAGCGCCCGUCCAAGCGGCCUUUGUUCUCGCCUGUCCGCGUUCGCUCGUGGAAUACCUGAUACUGUGGCUUCGAAUUAUGGUGCGUGAAAGAAUUUGUUGACAGUUGUGCUUUCGUGCGCUGGUGUUCAUCGGCGAUUCAACAGUGUUCGCGCUGGAAAGAGUGUCGUCGCGUGGUGCCUGCGAGACGAAGAAGCCGUUUGCUGACCACAUUGAAGGUGCCUUGUGAGCUCUCACCCAAGCAACACAUUCCAGAGGUCUGCUGUGAGCAGACGUGGCAAACUGAAGUAACAUUCAGAUAGUCCAAUAAACUGUUCGUAGUUUCAGACAAA